CUCACAUGGCAGGGAAAUGCAUACUACAGUGUGGAUGAGCUGCGAGUGAGGGUAUGGACGGGGCUGCUCUGGGCCUUUGGGUACAGCCAGUGGUGAUGCUCCCAGCACACCUUGGCACCUCUGAAACAGUGCCCUGUGCCAAAAGGCAAGGAAGUAGCAAGGAGGUCCUCCAGCUGACACGUUGUUUUGGUAUAAGAGAGAGCUUGAGUGACCCCUUCAAUAAUUUCAAAUAAACUAGCCUUCAAACGCAUCGCUCCUUAUGAUGCGGGCAGGAAAAAAGCUCAAUCCAAGUCAGAGGAAAUUCUCUUUGGAUUAAGUGAAAUUUGGAUUGUUCCCUAAAAAUGAUCUCUACCAGCUCUGCGGACAGCAGGUCAGGAAAUGCUGCUCUUCCUUCCAGGUGAGCGGGUAGCUGGGGCCCGAAACAACCCCUGCUGCCUGCCUCUGCUUUGCUCUUUGGGGAACGGCUCAGCACAGCUCACCUUACCCACAGAGACGCCUGAUAGAUGGCAUGUGGAAAAAUCUGAUCUCUCCCUUUUCCCAGGACAGACUUGUUCCUGACAAUACGCUUCGUAUCUGUUAUCAAAUGAAUUAAAACAUGCAAAUUGGAGAAAGGUCUGCUGAGUUACCCCGGUGCUUUCAAAGAACCUAAAGUCACAAUUUAUUGCAACUCGGAGCCUUUUAAAAACAACGACUGCUUUAGCAGAGCUGGGGGGAAGAGAGGUUGUGCGUGCAGUCAAAGCCGUAAACGCAAGCCUUAGCCUGAAAAAAGAAAUAAAUGGACUAAAGCACCAGGGCUGGCUCUGACAGGAAGUGGGGACUCGGGACUUCAAAUACAAACAUUAUGAAAAACAAGCAACAUCUGCAAACAGCCUUCUUGGGAUUCUUUCUCUAUUUCCACUCAGCGUGUGAUAUGACUGCCGCUGGAAUUAUGCUGCAGCCCACCAGGAUUGAGAGCCAGAUGGCGCCUUAAUUUAUAAACAAGUUGGAAAAGCAGAGGGAACAGAAAGGCAGCACCUCCAGGGCAAGCUGCAGCAGCCUUUCAAGGAAGGAAGAGGCACUUUGCCCGGGAGAGAACCAAUCCAUUACUGGAAGGAGACGCCCUGACCCCAUUAGCUGGGCAGACGUGUGUUUGAACUGGAGACCUCUGAGCAUCCUCAAUCCAGGAUGAGCAGCUCAGGCCGCUGCGUCAGACAGGGCGCAUCCUCAGCCAUCCUCCACGCGCUGCUCUGUACCACAGGGGCAACGUGCAGCUGAGAGGUCGGUGUGCCCGCAGUGUGAUUAAAAUGAGCGAGCAUAAAGGUAUGCAGAUAAAUAAAAAAGCCUGGGCAGUGUUACUUGUUUAAAAAUCAGCACUGGGAAGAAAUCCUGUAUGGUCUGUGAUUCUGAUAUUAGCAUGUUCUAAAAAAUUAGCCUGCAACAUGGAAUUUUUAAAAAGGAUUGCUCUGUUCUCAGCCUGUUUUAUUUGUGUUUGAUUCCAGAGCUCCGAGAAUACUGAAGCUGCAUAAUAUGAGAGUUUGUAACCUUUAAAAGUGGAAAUGUCAUAACUUAGUCUUAGGUAGUUAAUUGUGGCCCUGACUGUAAUGAAAGUGCUGUUGCCCAACAAGCUUUGCACUGCAUUGAUUUUUCUUCUA